GGAGAAGCUCGCUGGGGUGUUGCGGUGCUCGUGUCUGCGUUUUAGAGGCAACCUUCUGCAGGAUGCAGCAGAUAUCUUCUUCAGGCUUUGGAUCUAUGACUGGGGGAAAAUCGUUUGGAUCCCUAAACAGAGUGUUCCUUAGGCAGAUCCAUGAAGUGUGCUUCCUCCUGCUUCCCUCAUGGUGGUAGCCCAUAAGCCACACAGAGUGAUAAGUGGCCUUGGUCACUUGAUGGAGGUGGCAGUAACUCAGCCUCCUGCAGCAGAUAUUUUCUUGGACAGGAGAGGGCAAUAAAACUAUGCCCACUGCCUUC